rnacentral:tRNA from 1 species
GGGGAUUUAGCUCAGUGGUAGAGCGCUUGCCUAGGAAGCGCAAGGCCAUGGGUUCAGUCCCCA